rnacentral:tRNA from 1 species
UCCCUGGUGGCUCAGAUGGUAAAGUAUCUGCCUGCAGUGCAAGAGGCCCAGGUUUGAUCCCUGGAUUGGGAA